rnacentral:rRNA from 1 species
UUGGGAAUAUUGCACAAUGGGCGGAAGCCUGAUGCAGCGACGCCGCGUGAGGGAUGACGGCCUUCGGGUUGUAAACCUCUUUCAGCAGGGACGCAGCGCAAGUGACGGUACCUGCAGAAGAAGCGCCGGCCAACUACGUGCCAGCAGCCGCGGUAAGACGUAGGGCGCGAGCGUUGUCCGGAGUUAUUGGGCGUAAAGAGCUCGUAGGCGGCUUGUUGCGUCGACCGUGAAAACCCGGGGCUCAACUUCGGGCUUGCGGUCGAUACGGGCGGGCUAGAGUUCGGUAGGGGAGACUGGAAUUCCUGGUGUAGCGGUGAAAUGCGCAGAUAUCAGGAGGAACACCGGUGGCGAAGGCGGGUCUCUGGGCCGAUACUGACGCUGAGGAGCGAAAGCGUGGGGAGCGAAC